CUCAGUUCGGAUUGAAGGCUGAAAUUCGCCUUCAUGAAGCCGGAAUUGCUAGUAAUGGCAGGUCAGCAUACUGCCGUGAAUACGUUCCCGGGCCUUGUACACACCGCCCGUCACACCAUGAGAGUUGGGAAUACCCGAAGCCUGUGAGCUAACGAAAGAGGCAGCAGUCGAAGGUAGAAUCAAUGAUUGGGGUGAAGUCGUAACAAGGUACC
rnacentral:rRNA from 1 species